rnacentral:lncRNA from 1 species
CCACGUGGCUGAUGAGAAAGAAGACGGCGUUCCGAACGGUCGCGUUUUUCAUGUUCUCCGCUCCAAAGGAUUUAUCGGCCCCUGGCCGAGGUGCUGCUAAGGCUUCAGCCAGCAGCAAUGACUACCGUAUUGUGCUACCUAGUCUUCCUACUGGUAAGCUGGUUGUGGACUCCGUUUUCCUGCAUGCUGACUUAGCUGGU